ensembl:lncRNA
AUGUACCGAGGUGCGGGCACCCGUCAGCUGCAACAUGAGCCACCGUGGGAGGGACGUGAAAUGUGGCCAUGGUUCUCGGUGGCUUUAAUGCCGUUACGAGGAGGCAGAAACAGGGCCGACCCCGGGGGCCUCCAGGGCCCAGUAAGCCAGUGGCAGGUCCACUUCAUCACCUCUCCUCCGAAUGAACUCUGGCUGAACCCCUCUGCUGUGGUUAUUUUCGCUGGCAUCUGCCGCUCCACGGCCGCCGACAUGAGGCCAAAUGUGCUGUUUAGUUGCUCCAUUCGUUCACCUCUUGUUCGACUGGGUUAAUACUUACUGGAUGCUGUGGGGAAGGUAAAUGCACACACACACACACACAUACAGAGAGGCAGCAAACUCUCAGAGCAGAGUGUGUGUCAUGAAUAAUACAGGAUGGAAGUUUGACCAGUGGCCUGUGGCAGAGAGUUUGUGUGCAGGUUUGAGAUUGAGGAAAGUAUUACGCUAUUUCAUACACUCACAUCUGAUUAUAAAAACGGAGGCUUGAUGUUGUGUUCAGUCAGUGUUCUGUUUACACUAAGUCAGAUUCCACUGAACAACAAAAGUAUAAAGUAUUUGCAUCAACACAGUUUCAUGCAAAAUGUUCAUCAUGAAAAAAAGUACUUAAAUUAAUUGUUUUUGCAUCCGAACUUUUAAACAACGUGAACAGAAUAACACAAAUAAUUAAUAGAUCAUCACAGUAUGAUAUUUCAGUCUAAAUAGGUUUUAAGAAAUACAUUGUUUUGGGGAAUAAUUUUUGGACUUGGUGUGAAUAGGACUUUAUGUUCCAUCUCAAAACUGGCUCUCGAUGUAUUCAUUGUUAACCCAUGCAGUUGUUCUGGUUAAACCUUUAACAAUACAGCCACCCCGUACACUCUCCCAGUUCUGUCCUCGAAUCUGUGUGUGUUAACAAGAUUAUCUUUUAUUUUUUCAUCUUUAUUGGUGACAUGUUGUCAUGGUUUAUUCAAAUGACAAACUUUGGCUUUCUCUGUUUUAAUCCUGAGGUAUUAGUCACUGGUCGCUAAUGCCAGAUUACUUUCCUAGCCAUUCUUCAUGUGAUAAACGACUGGCAGGCAGCAGCAAAAAAUAGAUCAAAACCACUGGGAAUGAGAGGAGGAAAAAAAAAAAAAGGAAGGAAGGAGCUGAAAGAGCGGUAAAUCAUUUUACUGAGACACCCAACAGGGCUGGAAAAUGCCACCCAUGAUUCCUCUGCCACAGCUAAUCAAAGACCACAUGGUGAUUAGGGAGGAGAGGAUGGGACGCUCACUCUCCUUCCAUCUUGAACAAGCUUUUAGUGAAUCAGUGUACUGACAAUAUCCUUUCUAUUAGAUAUAUUAAGUUAAACAGUAUCUGUAAAAAUGGCUUGUUCUGUACAUCUUUUAUGGUGCCAUUCCAAGUGCAACUUCAGAAAACAAACAAGAUGUAUGGAAAAGACAAAAAUACUUAAUAAUCAAAAAAACAAAACCAGCAGCACUUGUGGAGUGGACAAAUGACAGAUUGAAAAUGUAAAGCAAAAAGGAGUAAAAGAGCAUGAAUAGAGAAAACUCAUUUAAAUGCAAACAAAGACAAGAUACAAUCUUGCAAUCAACCAAUCAGAGAGUUAGAACAAAUCAGAUUAUAUUUCUCAACUCUACAAGUCUACUGGUUUUGUUUUUGUGUUCAUUCUAGUUCCACAACUGUCUAAUGUCAGACUGAUAAACAAAUUUAUGUGUCAGCAGUGACAAUUCAGUAUUAAAAACUGCCCCAUCCUUUGACAGUGAGAUGACAAGUAGGGUGCUUUUAUUCCUAAACAACACAAGAAAUGAUGGCAGUUGUGUUGGUCUUAAAAAAAUUUUUAACAAUAUUUUUAACAAUAUUCCAUAUAAUUUCAGUCUGACAGCAAUGAUUUCAGUGGCACAUUUCAGCGAUGAUUGUCUUGUGAACCUCUUACAAUAUUAUUCAGGUUUUGUAAAGAAGCUGUUAUUAAUGGAUGUGUAGAUGUGUAAAGGAACCCUGCAGCCUGGGAUUCAAAAUUCACAACAAAACAUUUACAUAGCAG